UCCUGAGCUGGGGUAACUUGGCUUCAUUUGCAUCGUUCGCGGCUGGAAGGAACAGCGGUGGUGGAGACUGUGAUGGCGGAAGUACGGGGUAACAGAACUGGAGACAAGACAGAAUCAGACAUUCUUCCACCUACCUAGGGACACCUACAUGAUUGAUGCUUCUUUCACUCCCCUUUCCCCCUUCUAACAUUCCCCUUAUUUUAUGUAAAAUGUAGUUUUCCUGGACCUCACAAGCAUGUAACCACUUUGCCUUAUCAGCCUGUUCCCUCUACCUUUUUCCAUCUCUCUGUAUGCCUUUAAAAUGCUGAAGGUUCCAACUUCCCCUUCUGAAAAACAGCUAUAGCUUUUCUAAGUUUUGUGUGUUUCCCAGGUGUGUUCUCAAAAUCUUGGCUUAAUAAACCUCAGUUGAGUGUG